rnacentral:lncRNA from 1 species
AUAAGCAAGGUCUAUGAUGUUCCCUGGCUAGUGGUGGCUCCAUGCUGCAGUGAGCCUUGAACCCUAAGGCUGGUGUUAAUUAUUAAAAGGAUUAAAUUGAAAUCUAAACCUUUGUAAAUCCUACAUCACUGCCAGUUAAAUCUUUUAGGAUUGCAGGUAUUUCGAAUUUAUUUUCUUUCUUUUCUCUGAUUCCUGCCAUUAAUUUUUGUCUAAGAUAUGAUGUUGGUGGUGAUGGUUAAUCCUUACAUAGUCUGCAUCUGAAAUGAGUUUGCAUUUCUUAUGUCUUACAGGCAGCUGGAUCUCAGGGGCCGAAGUAAAUGUGUUCCUCAUACAUUACGGAAACUGUGUGACAUGGUGAGUUGUGAUGCAAGUGUUCAUCACUCAAAAGUCACAAGUUGAUAUGGGGCAAAAUCUGGACUUUAGUCGAUCUUGCAAACUAUGGCCUAAUUAUGGAUCAAAUGAUAGAGAGAUGAUUUAUUGUUGUUGUUGUUGUU